rnacentral:rRNA from 1 species
UCGGGAAUUUUGGGCAAUGGGCGAAAGCCUGACCCAGCAACGCCGCGUGAAGGAUGAAGUAUUUCGGUAUGUAAACUUCGAAAGAAUAGGAAGAAUAAAUGACGGUAUUAUUUAUAAGGUCCGGCUAACUACGUGCCAGCAGCCGCGGUAAUACGUAGGGACCAAGCGUUGUUCGGAUUUACUGGGCGUAAAGGGCGCGUAGGCGGCAAUUCAAGUCAUCUGUGAAAUCUCCGGGCUUAACUCGGAACGGUCAGAUGAUACUGCUUUGCUAGAGUGCAGAAGGGGCAAUCGGAAUUCUUGGUGUAGCGGUGAAAUGCGUAGAUAUCAAGAGGAACACCUGAGGUGGAGACGGGUUGCUGGGCUGACACUGACGCUGAGGCGCGAAAGCCAGGGGAGCAAACGGGAUUAGAUACCCCCGUAGUCCCUGAGCGGGCUGGCAAGGCGCAU